ensembl:lncRNA
AUUGUUUUCAGCUGGUCCCUGACUGGGAAUGGCAUGGCAUCAGUGGGUAGGGGACUGAUGAAUAGCAGUUUCCCUCCAUAUGAGAAGGUGGGAAGGCCGGUGUGGUGGCUCAAGCCUGUAAUCCCAGCACUUUGAGAGCCUGAGGCAGGUGGAUCACGAGGAGUUCGAGACCAAGCCUGGCCAGCCUGGUGAAACCCAGUCUCUACUAAAGAUACAAAAAAUUAUCUGGACAUGGUGGCACGCGCCUGCAAUCCCAGCUACUUGGUGGGCUAAGGCAGGAGAAUUGCUUGAACCUGGAAGGCAGAGGUUGCAGUGAGCCGAGAUCACACAAUUGCACUCCAGCCUGGGUGACAGGGCGAGACUCCGUCUCAGAAAAGAAGAAAGGAGAAGGUGGGAAGUUACCAGUGCAGGAAGAGAGCUGUGUGUGUGUGUGUGUGCAUCUAUGUAAGUUUGAGUGUGUGUAUGAGUCGUGUGUGUAUGCACAUAUGUGUGUGUAUGCAUGGGUGUAUGAGUGUGUGUAUAUAUGUGUGUGUAUGUGAAUGUGUGUGAGUGUGUGUGUGUGAAAAAUGAUGACCCGGGGAUGGCAAUGGAGGAAUGUGGGGGUGUCAGAAUUUAUUGUUCUCCAGAUAGAAUAGGGGAAUUAUUUUAGUUUAUUUCUGUGAAUACUUUUAUCCCUUUUCUUAGAAAAAAAAUAUAAUCUAAAAAUUGUUUUUGUGUGUAUUCUUUUCUACAAAUGGUAUCAUAUGAUAGCCAUUUAUUUCCAUCAAAAUGGAUUUGGCAGUGGGUGAGGGAGAAAUUGCCACCCUCUGGCCAUGCCGAUUAAGUGGGCUUGUUGAGUGCACAGUAGCACUCAGUUGCUUCUGCAGUAUGGCUUGGAAGUCAGAGGCUCCUCUGAGAGCCGGGGCAGGGUGGCAGAGAGGAGGGUGUGGGAGAUUUCAACCUCCAUGUAAGUGACCAUGUUUAUUCUAUGUUUUCAUUGCAGAAUCAGGUGGGGAAGGCAGUCUUCAGAGCAUUCACUCUGCCAUUCUCUGUGUCCGUCAUAGCAAUUUCUUCUCCAUGUUCAUGGAACACCUGUGGGCAGCACAGUUCCAGGCACUGGUUCUUUCAUUCCAUCAACACUGUUGGGGAGGCUACUUGGACCAGGCACUGUUCUAGGCAUUAUGGACAGAUCAUGAGUGAAAUGAAAGGAGUCCCAGACCCAGCUGGGUGGAGGUGACAGUGAUGAAGAAGUCACAUGUUGGUUGACAACUGCUGUGAACUGGCAACCGGCACCAUAGAAGGGACUGACUGGCAGCUGUACCUGACCUGAAUUUGGGGAGCUGUAAGGAAGGCCGCUGGGAUGGAGGGAUGGCCCAGUUUAUCCUGAGUAGAGCCCAUUCUUAGGAACCGCAAGAUAAAAUGGAAAAUGUCAUCUAGCCUGGAGAAAAAUGGACUCUCGCUCUUGGCCUCCCAAUAAUGGUCUGAUCCAAUCCACAUCCUCUGCAACCAUGUUUCUUCCUGCUUAGAAGAAAAGGGAUGAAAAGGACUUUUCUGCAGUCAGGCAGACCCGUGUCAACUGCGAGGUGAUCUCAGGUAGAUUGCAUGGCUUCUCUCAGUUUCGGUUUUCUUGUCAGGUAAAGAGACAGAUCAGAUGAAUGCAGUAAUUAUAAUCACCUGUGUUGGGCACUUGUUAUGUGCCUGUCACAGAUUUACAUGCAUCACCUCAUUUAAUCUUCGAAACAGGCUAGGCGUGGUGGCUCACACCUGUAAUCCCAGGACUUUGGGAGGCUGAGGCAUGUGGAUCAUUUGAGGUCAGGAGUUCAAGAUCAGCAUGGUCAACAUGGUGAAACCCCAUCUACUAAAAAUACAAAAAUUAGCUGGAUGUGGUGGCAGGCACCUGUAAUCCCAGCUACUCAGGAGGCUGAGGCAAGAGAAUUGCUUGAACCCUUGAACCUGGGAGGCUGAUAUGGCACCACUACACUCCAGCCUGGGCAACAGAGUGAGACUCUGUCUUAAAAAAAAAAAAUCUUUGAAACAACCCCUAUGAGUUUGGCAUUAUUCUCUAGGGGUGAGAUUGGGGCAAGGUAAGGGAGACAUUUGCCCCAUGCACAAAAUCUAAAGGGGUACCCCAAAAGCAAUAAUGAAGACAAUAUUUCAUUGUAAUUUUAAAAAUCGAAGUUAACGCAAAAAAAUUCAUAUUGAAUAGAUUGUCAACAUUUAAAAUCAAGACAUCAUCCCUCCCUGUACUUGCAGGACCUGGCCUCACUCAUUUUACCUUAAUCUGGCCCCAGCAUCACCCCCAAUUUGCAGAUGGAGACAUUAAGGCUCGGAGGCUUCCUUCCGCCUUGUACUUCAGGUCCUGCUAACUAUGUGGACAGGGCAGCCUGCCUUCCUCCUCCUCAAGACGUCACUCUGAGGGCCUCUGUUCACAGCCCCCACCCCCACAGGAGGGACAGGACAAUGCACAGUAAAGAGCACGUAAGUGGGGACAGCUGGCUAUUUCUGUUGUGACCGUCGUUACUGUUUAACAUGCAUUAAGAACCCACAGUGUACUUUGAAAUCAAAGGGUACCAGGAAGCGUCCUGGUAAACUUAGCUCUGUAGUCUUUCGGGGGCACCUGGCUGUACUUCACAGAGAAAUCAGAUAAAGCAAAGACAAGACCACUGUCCAUGACCCCAGAUGGGAAGCAGAGAGAGAACUGGACACCGGAAGAGAACACGUGUGGACUUGAAAGAGAUCUCCCGGCACACAGAGGGAGCGGCACAUCAUGUUUUUCCUUCUUUAAAAAUGAUUUUCACAAACUUUAAUUCAUUGUCUGUUCAUGACAAGAUAGAUAUGAUGGUUUCCAUAUUACUACGGAGAAACCUUAAGCAGAGAGAAGAUGUGGAAUUAACCUAGAGUAACACGGCUGUUUUUCUUUGGGAAAUGGAGAAGACUAGAGCGUAGGUCCUCUGCUUUCAUUCCUGCCCAUUUUCUAGUAUUUCCAUUUCAUCUGCCGCACAGACAAUUAAACUCCGUAUGCAAAGCUUGUUUGUAUGAAACUCACAAACAUGGCACUAAAUUCAUUACAUCUUUGAAUUGGAAGGAAGCAGUGGUUAUCUCACCCAAAAUCUAUGGGCCACAAACACACUCACUGUCUCCUUCCUAUGCAAGUUAUUCUUUGAGCCAGUGUUCUGGACUUCAUACUCAAAACCAGUUAAAUUUCACUGUACUUCUGCCAAGGUCUUUUCAGAUGUCCCUGUUGUCAUUUGGUUCUGUAGUAGAUCUGGAUUAUAAAAUGGCUUCCAGUGAAUCAGGUCUUCCUGUGUCCUUGUCCCUUAAAAUGUGACAUUGCUGCUCCUCUCAUCAAUUGAUAGAGUCUGCACCAUCCACCUCUUGAGUCUGGCCUGGCCUUGGGGCUUGCUUUGUCUCAUAGAACAUAGCAGAAAAGGAGGCUGGAUUAAAGAACUCAAGAGCCCAUAGACAGAUGAAUGGAUAGACAAAAUGUACAGUGGAAUGUUAUCCAGCCAUAGAAAGAAAGGACAUUCUGACACAUGCUACACUAUGGAUGAACCUCAGACAUUAUGCUAAGAGAAGUCACAAAAUGACACAUACUGUAUGAUUCCAUUUUUAUGAGGUAUUUAGAGUCAUCAAAUCCAUAGAUAGAAAUUAGAGUGGUGGGUGUGAGGGGCUGGGGAAAUGG